AGAAUCAACGCUGGCGGCGUGCCUAACACAUGCAAGUCGAACGAGAAAGUGGAGCAAUCCAUGAGUAAAGUGGCGACCGGGUGAGUAACACGUGACUAACCUACCUUCGAGUGGGGGAUAACCUCGGGAAACCGAGGCUAAUACCGCAUAACAUCGCAAGAUCAAAGUCAGCAAUGCGCUGGAAGAGGGGGUCGCGGCUGAUUAGCUAGUUGGCGGGGUAACGGCCCACCAAGGCGAAGAUCGGUA
rnacentral:rRNA from 1 species